CUAAACUAUGAUGUUUUUGUCAUAUUUUGGACGACAUACUAAACUAUGAUGUUUUUGUCAUAUUUUGGACGACAUGCUAAACUAUGACGUUUUUGUCCAUUUGUAGACGACAUACUAAACUAUGACGUUUUUGAUCCAUUUUUAGACGACAUACUAAACUAUGAUGUUUUUGUCCAUUUUUAGACGACAUACUAAACUAUGACGUUUUUGUCCAUUUUUGGACGACAUACUAAAAUAUGAUGUUUUUGUCAAAUUUUGGAUGACAUACUAAACUAUGACGUUUAAGAUCCAUUUUUAGACGACAUACUAAACUAUGACGUAUUUGAUCCAUUUUUGGAUGACAUGCUAUGACAUUUUUGGACGACAUACUAAACUAUGACAUUUAAGAUCCAUUUUUGGACGACAUACUAAACUAUGACGUAUUUGUCAUAUUUUGGACGACAUACUAAACUAUGACGUAUUUGUCAUAUUUUGGACGACAUACUAAACUAUGACGUAUUUGAUCCAUUUUUGGAUGACAUGCUAUGACAUUUUUGGACGACAUACUAAACUAUGAAAUUAAAGAUCCAUUUUUGGAUGACAUACUAAACUAUGACGUUUUUGUCAUAUUUUGGACGACAUACUAAACUAUGACGUUUUUGUCAUAUUUUGGACGACAUACUAAACUAUGACGUUUUUGUCAUAUUUUGGACGACAUACUAAACGAUGAUUUUUUUGGUCCAUUUUUGGACGACAUACUAAACUAUGAAAUUAAAGAUCCAUUUUUGGAUGACAUACUAAACUAUGACGUUUUUGUCAUAUUUUGGACGACAUACUAAACUUUGAUGUUUUUAUCCAUUUUUAGACGACAUACUAAACUAUGAUGUUUUUGUCAUAUUUUGGACGACAUACUAAACUAUGACGUUUUUGUCCAUUUGUAGACGACAUACUAAACUAUGACGUUUUUGAUCCAUUUUUAGACGACAUACUAAACUAUGAUGUUUUUGUCAUAUUUUGGACGACAUACUAAACUAUGACGUUUAAGAUCCAUUUUUGGACGACAUACUAAACUAUGAUGUUUUUGUCAUAUUUUGGACGACAUACUAAACUAUGAUGUUUUUGUCAUAUUUUGGACGACAUACUAAACUAUGAUGUUUUUGUCAUAUUUUGGACGACAUGCUAAACUAUGACGUUUUUGUCCAUUUGUAGACGACAUACUAAACUAUGACGUUUUUGAUCCAUUUUUAGACGACAUACUAAACUAUGAUGUUUUUGUCAUAUUUUGGACGACAUACUAAACUAUGACGUUUAAGAUCCAUUUUUGGACGACAUACUAAACUAUGAUGUUUUUGUCAAAUUUUGGACGACAUGCUAAAAUGUGACAUAUUUGUGACAUUUUUAGACGACAUACUAAACUAUGAUGUUUUUUGGUCACAUUUGGGAUGACAUACUAAACUGUGACGUUUUUGAAAUAUUUUGGAUGACUAAACUGUUUCUUGACAUGACGAUGACCCUGCCGAAAAGUCUGAAAAUUCACAUAAACAAAACGAUUCCACGUUGUUGCUGUCUGGCAGUGGAUGUGUCUAAACUUAGAAGCAGCUGCAAUGGAGACAAGCUCCAACGGUUAAGAAAGUAGUGAAGGACGGACAGGUGAAUUUGUGUUCAAAAUCAGGCUGAAAGCUGACUGUAAAUAAACGCUUUGCGAAAAACCA